rnacentral:rRNA from 1 species
CUACGGGGGGCUCCAGUGGGGAAUAUUGCACAAUGGGCACAAGCCUGAUGCAGCCAUGCCGCGUGUAUGAAGAAGGCCUUCGGGUUGUAAAGUACUUUCAGCGGGGAGGAAGGGAGUAAAGUUAAUACCUUUGCUCAUUGACGUUACCCGCAGAAGAAGCACCGGCUAACUCCGUGCCAGCAGCCGCGGUAAUACGGAGGGUGCAAGCGUUAAUCGGAAUCACUGGGCGUAAAGCGCACGCAGGCGGUUUGUUAAGUCAGAUGUGAAAUCCCCGGGCUCAACCUGGGAACUGCAUCUGAUACUGGCAAGCUUGAGUCUCGUAGAGGGGGGUAGAAUUCCAGGUGUAGCGGUGAAAUGCGUAGAGAUCUGGAGGAAUACCGGUGGCGAAGGCGGCCCCCUGGACGAAGACUGACGCUCAGGUGCGAAAGCGUGGGGAGCAAACAGGAUUAGAUACCCGAGUAGUC